CAGAGGGGGCGAGCGUUGUUCGGAAUUACUGGGCGUAAAGGGCGCGUAGGCGGCCCGCUAAGUCGAACGUGAAAUCCCCAGGCUCAACCUGGGAACUGCGUCCGAUACUGGCAGGCUUGAAUCCGGGAGAGGGAUGUGGAAUUCCAGGUGUAGCGGUGAAAUGCGUAGAUAUCUGGAGGAACACCGGUGGCGAAGGCGGCAUCCUGGACCGGUAUUGACGCUGAGGCGCGAAAGCUAGGGGGAGCAAACGGGAUUAGAUACCCCGGUAGUCCUAGCCCUAAACGAUGAAUGCUUGGUGUGGCGGGUAUCGAUCCCGUGCCGUGCCGAAGCUAACGCAUUAAGCAUUCCGCCUGGGGAGUACGGUCGCAAGGCUG
rnacentral:rRNA from 1 species